rnacentral:rRNA from 1 species
AUUGAACGCUGGCGGCAUGCUUUACACAUGCAAGUCGAACGGCAGCGCGGGCUUCGGCCUGGCGGCGAGUGGCGAACGGGUGAGUAAUACAUCGGAACGUGCCCAGUAGUGGGGGAUAGCUCGGCGAAAGCCGGAUUAAUACCGCAUACGACCUGAGGGUGAAAGCCGGGGAUCUUCGGACCUCGCGCUAUUUGAGCGGCCGAUGGCAGAUUUGCUAGUUGGUGGGGUAAAGGCCUACCAAGGCGACGAUCUGUAGCUGGUCUGAGAGGACGACCAGCCACACUGGGACUGAGACACGGCCCAGACUCCUACGGGAGGCAGCAGUGGGGAAUGUUGGACAAUGGGCGAAAGCCUGAUCCAGCAAUGCCGCGUGUGUGAUGAAGGCCUUCGGGUUGUAAAGCACUUUUGGCGGGAACGAAAAGGACUGUGCCAAUACCACGGUUCGAUGACGGUACCCGCAGAAUAAGCACCGGCUAACUACGUG